UACGUAGGGCGCAAGCGUUAUCCGGAAUUAUUGGGCGUAAAGAGCUCGUAGGCGGUUUGUCGCGUCUGCCGUGAAAGUCCGGGGCUCAACUCCGGAUCUGCGGUGGGUACGGGCAGACUAGAGUGAUGUAGGGGGAGACUGGAAUUCCUGGUGUAGCGGUGAAAUGCGCAGAUAUCAGGAGGAACACCGAUGGCGAAGGCAGGUCUCUGGGCCUUACCUGACGCUGAGGAGCGAAAGCGUGGGUAGCGAACAGG
rnacentral:rRNA from 1 species